rnacentral:rRNA from 1 species
GAUCCUGGCUCAGAUUGAACGCUGGCGGCAGGCUUAACACAUGCAAGUCGAGCGGGGUGAGGUGCUUCGGUACUGAUCCUAGCGGCGGACGGGUGAGUAAUGCUUAGGAAUCUGCCAUUUAGUGGGGGACAACAUUCCGAAAGGGAUGCUAAUACCGCAUACGUCCUACGGGAGAAAGCAGGGGAUCUUCGGACCUUGCGCUAAAUGAUGAGCCUAAGUCGGAUUAGCUAGUUGGUGGGGUAAAGG